rnacentral:rRNA from 1 species
ACAGAGAGUGCAAACGUUGUUCGGAAUUACUGGGCUUAAAGCGCACGUAGGCGGCGUCGUAAGUGUCGGGUGAAAUCCCACGGCUCACCCGUGGAACUGCCCGGCAGACUGCGAUGCUAGAGUGUGGUAGGGGAGAGCGGAACUCCUGGUGGAGCGGUGAAAUGCGUAGAUAUCAGGAGGAACACCGGUGGCGAAGGCGGCUCUCUGGUCCACAACUGACGCUGAGGUGCGAAAGCUAGGGGAGCAAACGGGAUUAGAUACCCCGGUAGUCCUAGCUGUAAACGAUGGGCACUAGCUUGGGGUCUCCCUGUGUGAUCCCAGGUGAAGUAAAAAUGAUAAGUGCCCCGCCUGGGGAGUAUGGUCGCAAGGCUG